GGGAUGGGGAGGAGGAAGACAGCCCUCCGGACUGGAAGUUUGAAACCCUUUCUCCUGUUCCUGUCUUUAAAACACGAACUGGCAGGCUGGACUUCUUAUAUAACACUCCUUUAGUGACUGAAGCACUUGUCACAACCACCUUGGGGACCUAGGUUCAAUGCCCCCACUUUCAGGAAGUCAAGCUCUUUGCUCAGAUAGCACGUGGCUGAGCAGCGGCAGUAAAACCAGAGUCCCUAUUUCCACUCUUAGACCAGUGAGCCCUCCUGCACCCACGACGGAGACUGAGGAGGAGAAAAAUAACCAGCCAUGCAAAAUCCAAAAAAAAAAAAAAUCCUCUCAAGAUUAUGAAAUCAAAGAGCAUUUUGUUGUUUCUUGGACAUUCUUCUUACUACUCUGAGGCAGCGCAAUUCAACAGGCAUCUCUUUCUUGUUGUUAAAGUACUUGUUCUAUCUCCUGCCUCUUUUACCAACUUUCACAUCGACCGAGAACGCAAGCGUUUACCUGGGCUCCAUCCUUGGACGGCGAACUGGUCGCGCAGGCUUCCGGCCUCCUCCUCCCUGGGAUUUGGCUCCAAGGCUCCCGCAAAAUCUCGAAAUCCCCCCCAGAUCGGCGCGGCCACUGAGGGAAGCAGCCCGGCUCUGAACAAGCCCAGGCAAGCCCAGGCAGAGCCCGCUUCGCGGUCCUUCCUCCUGCGCGAACCACCCGGCCCCGGGGCGAGAGACGCGUCUCUCGGGCCGCAGAUCCGUGGAGUCGUCUCUCUCCAGAGGACCGGGCGCCGGCCCUCUCCUCCACCUGAGAAGGAAAAGGGUGCAGGUCCCCGGAGGCACAGAUGAGGACGCGGCGAUGCGCCGGGCAGCCCGUGAGGAGCGCGCCUCCCUUUCCUCGCGGUUUCUACACUGCCCUGCGUGAGAAAGCUGAGGACCAGAAAGGUAAAACUUGGCCACCAUCACGAGGGGGAGAAUGAAGUGGAACCGGGACCCAUAUUCAUUCCUUUCUGACCCCCAAGCCUCACUCCUUAAGCAACUGCAUCUGGCCUCAAUUUGGCAAAUUGCUUAGCCUCUCCACGCCUUGAUGUUCUUGUGUGUACAGACAGCAUCAGACUCACGAGCCACCAAAAUGCCUUGACCUGGGCGGCUGACAGAUGAAGGAGUACAUUUGGGAGACUCCAGACUGCAGUAACUAGAGGACUUGAAAUAAGAUUUAUAUCCACUUUUCCAUUCAGAGAGGCCAAACCACAUUCAGGCCUCUCCCCCCCCCCUUAAUCAUGUAUGUAUAAGUGAGGACUGGUUUAUAAAGGCAUCUCCAUAUGUCAGUCUGUCUCACCGAGGGUGUUCAGCCCA
ensembl:lncRNA